ACAAGAAUGCUGCUUUCAGGGAACCAAGGAAGAGGACCAAUCGCUUACUAAAGAGAUGCUCUCUGGAGUUGUUUCUGGUGGUCAAUAGUUCGGUAGAAGUUAUUGCCGUGUUAUGCUCACUUUACAGUAAAAGCUGAAUAUUUCAUGUUGGUUGCUGUCAGAAUUGUUAACGAUUGCACAGAGUCUAAUGGGGUAUGAAUUUAAUUACUAUCUGAGUGAAGUUCAUCAAAAUUAAGUGGUUGGGAAACCUUUUCUCUCUUCAACAUUUGGUACUUAUUUGGAUGCAAGUGGUUGCCAUGGAUUGGCUCACCAAUUUGCAAGACCUAUUCUUUCAUAACUGCCUCAAGUUAAAUGAUAGAAGCGCUGAGAGUAUCGAUCAAUUCUGGUCCAAUGACAGGGAAUGGAUUUAAGAGGAAGCUGUUUGAAGUUCACACAUAUAUUAUCACAACAAUUUGUGGCCAAACUCCAUUAUAUUCAGUUGGAAGAACAAUUAAUUAAUUUUAUGGAGUUCAUUAGAAGUUUGUCAAAGGUGGGGAAGAUUCUAUUUAGGAGCAACAUAUAGGAAUUAUGUGAUUGCACAAAGCUGAAGUACCCAUACAUUGGCUCACCACAUUAUUACAUCACCAAGAGGAAGAAGAAAUGGUACUUUCAACUUAGGUCCUCUAAUGUGCGAAUAGGUUUGGGUACUUAAUCUGUCUAAUUCUCUUUCUUGUGAAGUUUUUGUUAUUUUCUUUUUUCUUGCCCUUCCCCCAACAUAAUAGAAUGCAUAAAAUGGGUUUUAUUUUAUUUUAUUUUAAAAAUAUUAUAAUAUUGCUUGCAUACGUGUCAUCAAGAAAGUUUUGAUUCCCACAAAAUUAUGUUUAUUUUCCCAAUAUUAUAUGUUCUUGCGCUUUAGCCAAUCAUUAGGUUUUCUUAUAUACUUUUAAUAACCUGAUCAAUAAUUGCUCUCUUUUUUGAAAAAGUUAGAAUGCACUAAGCAUGAUAAACAUAAUGCUAGAAUUUUGAAAUACAAUCAAGGAUCAGUAAUUACCAAGCAUUAUGUCAUAUUCAAAAAUGAAAAAUAGACUCUUUACAUCAAUACUUGCCAUAAUGUGCUCUUCUUGAUGAAGGAAAAGGCAGGGGAGAGAUGGAAUAUGAUAUUUCCUGCUGAACUUAGUCAAGGCAGUAAGGAUAGGAACAAUUCAUUUUCUUCCCCUACUUAUUAUAAAUUCCUACAAAAGUUUAUGAGUGGUGGGUGAUGUAGAAUAGAGCUCAUUAGAAGUCUGUGUGCGGAAAAUUCAAGAAGUGGAAAAGUACUAUUAGAAGUCAUUGGAGAUAACGGCAAAAUUGCAUGAAAUUUGGUGACACAAAGGGAAAUGGUGCUACUCAUAGCCUUCGGCCACGAUCAAACCUACUUUUUGGCUUCUGCAACAAUAGUAGGGCAGCUUCAUAUCUUCUCAAUAAAUUAAGCCUAAGAACAAGAAUGCACUACCUUCUAGUAAAGAGAGGUGUGAUCCCUCUCAAUGGAAACCUAAGACGAAGAUUUGGCACAGUGGUUGAGGAUUUAUUUUAACUUAUAAUCUUGUGAAGCCUUAGAUUAUAGACAAAAGAUCGGUCAUAAUCCAGGAAUCACAAAAGGCGGACUUACAAAUUGAUUCUAGUGCUUUUUUUUUUCUCUCACUAAAAUUUAUUUGUAGAUGACCUUAAAGUCCAAUUUGCUGUACAGAUUGCACUAUAAGGAAGUAUAACUUUAGAUUCAAAUCAAAUUAAACAAGAGGGUUAGCAUCUUCUUUCUUUUGGGAUCAAAUUAUAAUGUUGGGUCAGCUGGAACCAUAACUUGAAUGUACCUGCAAGUGUCAAUUGGGUGUAUUAGGUAUCACUUCGACAAUGCAUCAAGAUUCCUGACAAUUUGUCUGCUGUUCAAAUCCUAUUUUAUGGUUUCCUAACUUAAAGUCUCUGUAGCAGUGACUUCAGCAAUUUUCUAGACUAUGAGGUCUGAAAAGUUGACAGUUUUUAACUUAAAUGGGUAAAUAUGAAGUCCACUUCCAGAAGGGAAUAGUUAAAAGCGCUGGAUAUUCACUCUUUAGUGCCAUUCUAGUUUUCGAUUCCCUGGGCUGGUAUCUUGGAAAACAUCAAAAGGUAAUGCCAAUUGCAUCAGAAUGUGAAGUGUGCUGAUCAGCAGAGACAUCAUUGCUGCCUGUAUUUAAGACUCCAAUCUUGAUAAUAGGUGACCUCAUCUGCCACGACAAUAGAAUGUCUUCUCUAGGAACUGACUUUAUAUAUUGAAGGUAUACCUUUUGUCAUUUUUACUUACAGUCUUGUCAUAGUUACUAAUAAAAGAACUCCUAGUGAGUGUUAUUUUAAUGUCUUUUCUUUUGUCAUUCAAUUUAACAUUGUCAUUGAAGGAUACAAAGAAAUCUCUUUUGUGUGUUUUUGUGUACCUUGUGCUGUUAUCUGUAAAAUAAUUUACUAUAUCUAUAGAAUAAUUUAGCAUGAUUCAUCACCAUCUUCCCAAUUAGGUGUUUUUAUAAGGUCUAAACUGGGUUGUUCAGCGUUCAUUUUAUAUUCUUGAGUUUCCUUACAAACUAUAGUUUUUCAGUCUUUUGUUUAAUCCUUAUGCUGCCAUACAUAGGCAUUGAAAUUUAUCUUUGACCUACAGCCGAAGUAAGGGAUAUAUGGCAAGCUACAAUGAUCCAUAUUGCCCAAGAAGGUGGAUGCUUUGUUCUAUCUUCGAACCAAUUCUGCAGAAAGGGAAGACUAUCCACUGUCAACAGAAACAACUUGGAGGGUGUUUGAGCAAAGCUAGAUUUUAGUGGAAAUAGGCAUCAAGUGGGACCAAACUCAGUCAAUCUUACUCUGAAUAUAUUCAAUCCAAUUUCUUUUACAACUUCUUUCAAAGCGGAAGUUCUUGAUGAGCUGCAAUUAAGACUUAGCUGUGUAAAAAGUUAUUAAAUAAAUUUCUUCUUGUUGUCCUCUUGCCAAACAGCUAA